GCGCGAGCUGGAUUGGAGAAAAUAUCUCCUCUCUCUCCCUCCUCCCUUCUCAUCCGGCUCCUCUUCUUCGUGCCGCCGCCUCCUCCUCCCCCACGACCCCGCCUCAUCUCCUGCCGCUGCCUCCUCCUCCUCCCCCGCGACCCCGCCUCAUCUCCUGCCGCUUCCUCCUCCUCUCCUUUCCUUGAUGUCUCUAGGGCGACCCCCAACCACCCAACACCAACUCCGGCGGCCUCCUCUCCCUCCAGUGCCACUGCUCGACCCUCUCCGGCGACCCUCACCAUCCUUCCUCUCGAAAGGAAGGGAAGGGAUGGGGAGGGGAGGCUCCAGAUCGAGCGGAGCGACACCCAGAUCCGCAGCGGCACAGGCACCGGCGCGCCGUCGUCCACCUGGUCCUCGAGGAAGGCCAUGGAUGGAUGGAACGAUCGAUGGAUGGGGGCGGAACCCUAGCCCCACACCCACCCAUGGAUGACGACGGCGGCGGCCUUCUCUCGGUGGGGGUGGGGAGCGAAGCUUUCUGAUACGGUGGCCCUCGACGCCCGCGACGGGAUGCAGCACCUAGACUUCAAAGGUCCUGCAUAUUUGAGAUCAAAUGUCAGCACACCAAGCACCAGAUGGUAGAAGGGUCCAGUUGCGUAAUUGGUCAAAAGGACAUUUUGAGGUGCUUGUCCAGAUGUGAUUAUUUCUCUUCAGUAACAGGUCAAUCAUAUAUUUCUUUCAUCUAACUUUGUGCUUUGUUAUCUACAAACUAAUAGGUCAUUCUGUCUACAUACUAUCAUGCCCUAAAACUGUGAUAGGUUUGCCCCUAUUUUUGGUUGUGUUGCCAAAUCAUUUCAAAAUAUGUCCUUUUAAUGGAGUUAGAAUAUUUUAACGUUACAAUGGCAACCUAAAAAUAAUGGAAGCUUUCCAGCAUUACCAAAGUUCCACUCCUGUUUCUAUUCAUUUUGGUCGCUCUAGGAAUUUCUAGCCAUUUGUACGUACCUAGUGUUAUUGUUGAAAAUUGAAUUAGUAAAAUAGCUUGUGAUAAAAAAAUCCCUAAAUGUUUUCCCCUUAGGACAGAGUUGUUGUUUUUGAGGAGCAAGGUACACGAUAUAUAUGUAGGGCCUCUUUGGUCAACGUCUCAAUGGAUAAAAGCCAAUGCAUGUUCACUUUACAAAAAAGGAGAGAAAACCUUCAUGUGUUUCAUAUGCUUACUCGUGGUGAUGCCAACCUUUUGCUAUUGCAAACGUUACUGGUUCUCUAAUAUCAAGAUCACCUUCUUUUCUGUUGCAGCAAACAUUACAUGAACUUUCACGAGUUUGUUUACAAUUUCGAACUCCUCCAAUUGAACGGCUCGUCUACUGAAGUACUCUGUUUGUGUACAGUUUUGUAGGAGUUUGGAGUACUCUGAGCACCUACCUGUAGUGUGCCAUCAAAACCACGUGCACUACAGGAGUUUUGCAUGGCAUGAGUAAUCUUCCUCUCCUUCCUCCCUCACAGUCUCUAGCCGCCCUCUCCCUCUAGAUUCAAAUUUAGUUCUUACGUGCAAGAGUUUGCAUCAUGAAUGAAAGCAGAGCUGAUUCUCAUUUCAGUACUAGGUGGGUAGGGAUUAAUCCAUCAAACUGAAUGAUUAUAGUUAGGAAACCUGUCAAUAUGGUUAUAUGUAUUAGUAAUAAGAUUUUAAAUCAAUUCAAACAGGAAAAGCAUGUGAUUUUUUCUAUUUAGUACUCCCUCCAUCCCAAAAUUCUUGUCGUAGCUUUGUCUAGAUACGGAUGUAUCUAAUACUAAAAUGUGACUUGAUACAUUCGUAUUUAGAAAAAUCUAAGACAAGAAUUUUGGGUCGGAGGGAGUAUUUAGUAUUUCUGGAAAACUAUACGCGUUCUUGCUAAUUUCAUACUACUAGAUUACAGUCGUACAUGCUCUUGCUUGUCUACAAAAUUUCAUUCUUGCAUCUAACCCUGAUUAAAGAAAUGCUUGAAUAGCAGGAUGGCAUUGGGUUGUCAUGUUUUACUGUCAUUUGCGUGUAGUACUCUGUUGACUCAAGUGCUUUGCUAUUAUAAUGUUGUCAUUUACGUUUAGUAAUCUGUUGACUCACAUGGCACACUAUGUGACUGCAUGUGGCCAAGAAGGUUUAUGAAUGUCUUAGUAUUUUGUUAAUAACAUACCUCAGAAGCUAGAACAGAUUGGUUUCAUGCAGGUGCCAUUCUACUUGUAGUUUAUUUCCAGGGUGGUUUUGCUAUUUAUAGAUGUAUCAUGUAGGUAGGGUAAAACAUCCUCUUGGUCUCUUUUCUGUGGUCUGUGGUUGUAGCUUAAAAUUGGUGCAUUCAUGCGAAAAAGAUCAAAUUGGUCCCUGUAUAUACAAGUGAACUGUAGAGAAAGAUUCCACAUGGCGUUGGCUUUAGGGAAGUAUCACGCAAAUAAAGGAGAGAGAUUACACAGUGGGAUGAUGUUUCUUGCUAUAUUCUCAACUGAAUUGAGUAUCAUACAAAGAUAUCAUAUUCCCAAACUUGCCUCUGGGAAUAAUAGCAGUCAAGUAGUCAUGCUGGGUUUUCUAUGAUCCAAAUAAGAGCACACUUGCCUUUGUUUUAACAUACAGAUUAAAUGUUGAGAAGUAUAUUAUUCUGAUUGCUUAGUCAAUGUAUCGAUAAUAGUAUGGUGCAUGCCGACUCUUGUUCUCUUAUCGUUUCCUAAGGAUCACUUCUAAGGAUAUAAGGAAAGGCAUUUCCUUCCCAUGCUUAUUGACUGCAUAUCUCCUGGUCCUGUCAUUUGGUAUGUGCUAUCAACAUUGUUAAUCAUUUAACUUUAUUUUUCUUUCCCUUUACAGCCUACUUGAAUGGAUAUGGUUCCUGAGAGGCCAUUUCUUAUGUGCAUCAGGUCCUGAAGGUGGAUGUUGCUUAUUUAGAUAUCUAUGAUUCCAAUUUAUUCAAAAGGUUCAUGUCAUACUGGAUGUUAUUCAUUGAGUAGCUUCAAACAAUAUGGCAUGAACAUAUUUGUUUUCCAUUUGGCCAAUAAUGAAAUGAUCUUUGUGCAUAUAAAAUGGUUAUCGAUACCAUAAUUCUUGGUUUUAAUAAGCUUCUUGCACUAAACCGUUUAAGC